rnacentral:rRNA from 1 species
AGAGUUUGAUCAUGGCUCAGGAUGAACGCUAGCGGCAGGCCUAACACAUGCAAGUCGAGGGGUAACAUAGGAAAGCUUGCUUUUCUGAUGACGACCGGCGCACGGGUGCGUAACGCGUAUACAACCUACCUUUUAGCGGGGAAUAGCCCAGGGAAACUUGGAUUAAUGCCCCAUAGUAUAUAGACUUCUCCUGAAGUUUAUAUUAAACAUUUAUGGCUAUUAGAUGGGUAUGCGUCCUAUUAGUUAGUUGGUAAGGUAACGGCUUACCAAGGCAGCGAUAGGUAGGGGUCCUGAGAGGGAGAUCCCCCACACUGGUACUGAGACACGGACCAGACUCCUACGGGAGGCAGCAGUGAGGAAUAUUGGACAAUGGGCGAGAGCCUGAUCCAGCCAUGCCGCGUGCAGGAAGACUGCCCUAUGGGUUGUAAACUGCUUUUACAGAGGAAGAACCACCCCCACGUGUGGGGGUUUGACGGUACUCUGCGAAUAAGGAUCGGCUAACUCCGUGCCAGCAGCCGCGGUAAUACGGAGGAUCCAAGCGUUAUCC